AACGAACGCUGGCGGCGGGGUUUAGGCAUGCAAGUCGAGCGAGAAAGGGGCAACCCGAGUAAAGCGGCGUAAGGGUGAGUAAUAGGUAGUUCACGUAUCCUGCAGACGCGGAUAAUUUCCCGAAAGGGAUUGUAAUACGCGAUGAGACCACAGCUGAUCCGUCAGCCGGGGUCAAAGGUUCGGGAUCCUUCGGGACCGAGCGCUGUUUGAGCGGACGACCUCCGAUUAGCUAGAUGGCGGGGAACGGCCCACCAUGGCGAUGAUCGGUAGCCGGCCUGAGAGGGUGUCCGGCCACACUGGGACUGAGACAC
rnacentral:rRNA from 1 species